rnacentral:lncRNA from 1 species
AAAGGUGGGCUCUAUAGAGGCGACCGGCAAGCUGGAACACCAACCUGGAAAGAGAGUGAGCCACAAGGACCAAUUGGAAGCCUGUGGGGGAUAUCGGGGGCGGGGCUGCUGGCUGUGGUACUUUUGCAGCUUUGGUGGGCUCCGGCUUCCUUCACUCCAGCCCACCGCGUCCGAGAGACUUAGCAGGGCGUCAAACUGGAGAGCGGAAGGAUGGAACCUUUUAUUCUCAGGUGGAGAGGAUUAAGCUUUGCGGUGUUAGCAGAAAAUGAUCGAGCUCCAGAAAAUGAUUUGGAGAAACAUGGAUUCAGUCAAGAAGCCCUUCUGAAGGAGUAGAAGGCCCUAGAUUCCCAGAACUGGGGCUCUGGCUAUGUUGCCCA